rnacentral:rRNA from 1 species
CCUACGGGAGGAGGGAGGGGGGAAUAUUGGACAAUGGGCGAAAGCCUGAUCCAGCCAUGCCGCGUGUGUGAAGAAGGCCUUCGGGUUGUAAAGCACUUUCAGUGGGGAAGAAAGCCUUGGGGCUAAUACCCUCGAGGAAGGACAUCACCCACAGAAGAAGCACCGGCUAACUCCGUGCCAGCAGCCGCGGUAAUACGGAGGGUGCGAGCGUUAAUCGGAAUUACUGGGCGUAAAGCGCGCGUAGGCGGUCUGAUAAGCCGGUUGUGAAAGCCCCGGGCUCAACCUGGGAACGGCAUCCGGAACUGUCAGGCUAGAGUGCAGGAGAGGAAGGUAGAAUUCCCGGUGUAGCGGUGAAAUGCGUAGAGAUCGGGAGGAAUACCAGUGGCGAAGGCGGCCUUCUGGACUGACACUGACGCUGAGGUGCGAAAGCGUGGGUAGCAAACAGGAUUAGAUACCCCGGUAGUC